rnacentral:ncRNA from 1 species
UACCCGCAGGUGAAGGAGACUGUGAGGUGGUGUUCUGCGAUAGCAGGUUCCGUCGGCUUGUGGCAACCAAGCGUUUAUAGCGACGUCAUUUUUUGAUCCACCGAUGUCGGCUCUUCCUAUCAUUGUGAAGCAGAAUUCACCAAUGUUAAUACUAUUUAGUACGAGAGGAACCGCAGCUUCAGGCAUUUGGUACAUGUGCCUGGUCGAGCGGCCAAUGGUGUGAAGCUACCAUCUGAGGGAUUAAGACUGAACGCCUCUAAGCCUGAAUUCCGUCCAGAGAUGCGCAACGAUACAGCUUGGCCUGCAUGUGGUAGGGCAGAUAUAGUACUUUCCGGUCAGGUUUCAUUCGGAUGUGGCCAGUGUAACCUACCGAAUCUAGUUUGUUCGGUGAUUCUAUGCCAGAGCUGUGACCAUAACCACAUGCACCGGGCCAUGGUGUUGUGGGUGUCGACACGAUAUCCAAUUGUGGUAGAAGCGUGGCGGUAUUAAAUCGUUUGUAGAUGACUAAAUGUUUUGUCGGGGAGACGUGAGUAUUCGAGCAGCUAUCACACUGCGAGGUAUUGAGUCCUAUUCCUACCCGACGCAAGGCUUU